ACAGCAUUGAGUUAAUGUGAGUUUAAAAUAGGUCUAUAUAUAAGAUAUAAUUUGACUAAACCUUUUAACUCAGUUAUAACAUUUUGAGUAAUAAUUAGACCCAAGAGGCUCAGAGCUAGAGUAGUUCUAGAAUUGAUGAUCCACCUGAGAAAUAGGGCAUUACAGUUGAUAUUAGAGCCAAUCACCAAACGAAAGUGUAAGAUAAAUUUCGAUUGAGUUAGGAUCUGAAUGACAUGUUAAAAUAGAGUCUGAAAAUGACGAGUUAACUCAGGAUCUGAAUGACAAUGCUAGCGAGAUGAAUCUCACAUCAUCUGUUGCUUGUGAGUGUCUUGAGCCUGACGAGAACAUCAAGACUUAAAAGGAGGAAGAAUGUGACACUCCUAAAAUUUGGAAUAGCCAUAUAUUUAAGAUAUAACUGGAUGAAAAUUUCUUAAUCUAGCUAGAGUAUUUUAGACGGUGGCUAGAUUCAAAAAAGUUAAAAGAGUUAAGCGUGCUAGAAUUAGAAUAGUUUUAUAAUGAAUGACCUUCGUAGGAAGCGGGGUGUCACAGAUAAUUU
rnacentral:lncRNA from 1 species